rnacentral:tRNA from 4 species
GCCGGUUUCGCUUAGUGGUAAAGCAACUGACUCGUAAUCAGUAGCCACGAGUUCAAUUCUCGUAACCGGCACCA